rnacentral:rRNA from 1 species
UGGGGAAUAUUGCACAAUGGGCGAAAGCCUGAUGCAGCAACGCCGCGUGAGCGAUGAAGGCCUUUGGGUCGUAAAGCUCUGUCCUUGGGGAAGAAACAAAUGACGGUACCAUUGGAGGAAGCCCCGGCUAACUACGUGCCAGCAGCCGCGGUAAUACGUAGGGGGCAAGCGUUAUCCGGAAUUAUUGGGCGUAAAGAGUGCGUAGGUGGUUGUGUAAGCGCGGGGUGAAAGGCAAUGGCUCAACUAUUGUAAGUCCUGCGAACUGCAAGACUUGAGUGCAGUAGAGGAAAGCGGAAUUCCUAGUGUAGCGGUGAAAUGCGUAGAGAUUAGGAGGAACACCAGUGGCGAAGGCGGCUUUCUGGACUGUAACUGACACUGAGGCACGAAAGCGUGGGGAGCAAACA